AAAAAGACAAACAUGAUAUGUACUUACUCAUAUGCGGAUUUUAGACAUAGAGUAAAGGAUUACCAGCCUACAAUCCACACUGCCAGAGAAGCUAGUAAACAAGGAGGACCCUAAGAGAGACAUACAUGGUCCCCUGGAGAAGGGGAAUGGGUCAAGAUCCCCUGAGCAAAUUGGGAGCACGGGAAGAGGGGAGAGGGAGCUAGGAGAAUGAGAAGGGGAGAAGAGGAGGGAUACAGAGGAUAUGAGGGAGCAGAAAGUUUGAGUCAGGGGAUGAAUAGAAGUAGCAAGAAUGGAGAUACCAUAAUAAGGGAAACAUUUUAGGUUUACAGAUAUAUCAGGCACUAGGGAAAUUUCUGGAGAUCUACAAAGAAGACACCAGCUAACAAUCUAAGCAACAGAGGAGAGGCUACCUUAAAUGCCUUCCCCUGGUAAUGAGAUUGAUAACUAACUUAUAUGCUACCCGAUAGCCCGCAUCCAGCAGCUGGUGGAAGUAGAAGCAGACACAACUAAUCACUGAACUGAACUGGAAUCCAGAUGCAGAGAAGGACGAAUGAAGAGCAAAGGGGUCCAGGCCAGCAUGGGACUGAACCAGACCCCAGGAACAUGGGUUUCAGUGAGGAAACCUCAGAAAUCUACAGGACCUCCUGUAGUAGUUCAGUCCUUAUCCCUAGCAUAGAUGUGGACUUUGGGAGCCCAGUCCACAUAGAGGGAUACUCCCUGAGCCAAGACACACAGGGGUGGGCCUAGGCCCUAUCCCAAAGGAUAUGAAAGACUCUGAUGGCACCCUAUGGAAGGCCUUACCAUCCAUGGGGAGCAGAAAGGAUAUGUGAUAGGUAGGGUUUCAGUUGGGGGUGGUGGUAGGAGAGGACGGGAGGGAGAAGGGAACUGGGAUUGUCAUGUAAAACAAUUUUGUUUCUAAUUCAAAUUUUUAAAAAUCUGGGAAAAAAAAGAAGAGAUGUGACUAAGCCCUUGCCUAGCAUGUACAAGCCCAUAUUUAACCCACAGUGUGCACACAUAUGACAAAAAAAAAUCUAAUAAAGGUUAAGAAAAUUAAAAAAAAAGAAUCAAUUCAGAAACCUUUUCUAUAUAGGUCUCUAAUUUUCACUCUGUGUGGUUAAAAAAAAAAUCCAUUCUAAGAUAUGAUUCUGUCUUUGCAUCAGAAUUCCUGUGGGAGAAUGAGAAGAUUGCAAACUAACCAGAAUGCAUUGCAGCUCUGGAUCCAAGCGAUGCACAUUGCACCCUGUCCUCUGAACAACUGCAAUUCUGCUCCUACCAGCAGUGGUUCAGCUGCAAGGGCCACAGCCUACAGAAAUUCUGUCCCCUCACACAGCCACUCUCUCAAAGCCACUAAGGGAAACAUUUUCUAGAUCUCUAUCCCUUUUUAGAACUCAGGACUUAAAGGUUGAGGUGAAAUUCUGCUGGCUCCAAGAGGCUGAAUCACAAGUAGUUAACCCUGCCCUUCCUCAACUCUCCCGAAAACCCAGGGGCCCUUCUGCCCUGCUCCCACUUAAGGACACACUACACCUGGCUCCUCCCUACAACUUCCUGUCAGGUGGUUGCUGACUCAGCCUCCUGUCUACAGGUUAAUUUUAUUUAAUCAAACAGACGGAACCUGUUUUUUGUCUUGUUUCGUUUUGUUUUUGUUUUUGUUUUUGUUUUUUUUUUUUGUUUGUAUUGUAACCAAAAGCAGUAGGAAGAAAUGUAACACAACCUAAAAUAUUCCACAAGUGUCUAUUAAGAGUCACCCUGCCUGGCAUACCCCAUGCCCCUACCCUAAACCACCCCAGCCCCUGAGUUUCACUUCCUUUUCCUCAACAUCUCUGACUCCUGGAUAACCCAGCCAUUUUGGCUGCACAUUCUCUUGGCUGUCUUGGUGCUUUUAGCCUCUUGGUCUCUUGGUCUGCAGCUCCCAACCCCCUUUCUCUCUUGGUCUCCUCACCCUCAUCUCUCAUGGCUGCUGGCCCAGUUCAGUCUAGAUGCUUCCAGGAACCUCUGGCUGUGCUCUCUCUCAUAUCUACAAUAAAUCUCCUUCUCAGCUCCACCUUGGAACGAUCAUGUCCUCAUUUUUCUUUAUU
ensembl:lncRNA